rnacentral:misc_RNA from 1 species
GUGAAUCAUCGAAUCUUUGAACGCAAAUUGCACUCUCUGGCAUUCCGGAGAGCAUGCCUGUUUGAGGGUCAGUUUAAAUAAAAACCGAGGGGUUGCAGGUUUGUGACCCAGCGGAAUUGGGUUAGCUUUGACCUUUUAAAAAGCCUAAGUGACCUAAAAUCGAUACCUUGUGCAUCCCAGACGUACAUAAGAUUAUUUUUGUA